rnacentral:pre_miRNA from 1 species
GCACUUACAGCCUGAUCCAAAGCCCAUUGAAAUCAAUGAGAGUCUUUUCACUGAAUUUAAUGAGCUUUGGAUCAAACUUUUAGU